rnacentral:lncRNA from 1 species
UGCUCUUCCGAUCUGUCUGUUGUAUCAGUUUGCUAAAGUUGAGUUUUAAUGUAUUAGUCGUACCUGCGCAAAUAAUUUUCAUGCAGUAUAUAUUGUCUGCCUCUUGUUUCAUUUAUUGCUGUCAUCUGGAACCAAAUUAAAUGUUUUUUAAUAAAACUCUUCAUUAAAUAAAUGGUUAAUAAUAUAAAAAUAUGCACAGCAUGUUCAUUUAUGAUCAAAAUUAUUAAUUGUGUAAAUUUUAAAAGAAAUGUUACAAAUAGAUCAGGGUGGCCAAUAUGCGGCCUGCCAGGAAUCCUGUUGCGGCCUGUGGAGCUGGGUCAAAUGAACAUAAAUGUUAACUUUAUUGUAUUAAUACAUACUACCAAAAGAACAUUACAUCAUGAGUCGUUAUAUAUUUUUAAAU